rnacentral:lncRNA from 1 species
UCCUGGUCAAACUUAGGCAUUCUAAGGAUAGAGACACCUGACAGAAUCCAGGCAUUCUAAUGGGAGAGGCUUCUGGCCACCCUCAGGCAUUCUAAUUAUAGAGACACCUGGGCGACUUCCAGCAUUCUAAAGAUAGAGACACCUGGCCAAAUUCAAGCAUUCUAACGGGAGUGACUCCUGGCUGACCCCAGGCAUUCUAAGGGUAGAGAUAUCUGGCCAAACUGAAACAUUAUUUUUUUGAGACUUAGUCUCACUCUGUUGCCCAGGCUGGAGUGCAGUGGCAUGAUCUUGGCUCACUGCAACCUCUGCCUCCUGGGUUCAAGCGAUUCUCCUGCCUCAGCCUCCUGAGUAGCUAGGAUUACAGGCACACACCAUCACACCUGGCUAAUUUUUGUAUUUUUAGUAGAGAUGUGGUUUCACCAUGUUGGUCAGGCUGGUCCGGAAAUCCUGACCUUGUGAUCCACCCACCUCAGCCUCCCAGUGCUGGGAUUAUAGGCAUGAGCCACCACACCCAUCUCCUGGGCUCAGGCAUUCUAACCGAAGAGUCUCCUGGCCAACCCAGGCAUUCUAAUAAUAGAGAAACCUGGGUGACCUCAGGAAGUCUAUGGACAGAGGUUCUUAGCUGACCCCAAGAAUUCUACUAAGAGACAUCUAGGUGGCAUCAGGCAUUUUAUGGAUAGACACUCCAUGCCAACCCGAGGCAUUUUAAUGAUAAAGACACUUGAUAGAACUCAGGAUUUAUGCGGAUAGAGACUUUUGGCCGACCACCAGCAUUUUAAUGAUAGAAACCUAGGCGACCUCCGGCAUUCUAAGGAUAGAGAUCCCUGGCCGACUUCAGGCAUUCUAAUGAUAGAGACAUCCAGCCAAUAUCAUGCAUUCUAAAAAUAAAAUGCAUGGAGUCCUGGUCGACUCCAGGCAUUCUAAUGGUAGACACCUAGGUGACUGCAGGCAUUCUAAUGAUAGAGACUCCUGACUGACCACAUGCAUUCUAAUGUGAUAGAUUCUUGGCCGACCAUAGACAUUCUAAUGCUAGAGAAACCAGGGUGACCACAGACAUUUUAAAGAUAGAGACUCCUGGCCAACUCCAGGCAUUCUAAUGGGAGAGACUUCUGGUUGACUUCAGGCAUUCUAAUUAUAGAGACACUUGGAUGACUUCCAGCAUUCUAAGGAUAGAGGCACCUGGCCGAAUUCAGGCAUUUUAAUGGGAGAGACUCCUAGCUGACCCCAGGCAUUCUAAGGUUAGAGAUAUCUGACUGAUAUCAGGCAUUCUAAUGGGAGCAUCUCCUGGCCAACCCCAGGCAUUCUAAUGAUAGAGACACCUGUGCCACCUAAGUUAUUCUAAAAAUAGAGACACCUCUUCAACCACAGGCAUUUUAACAGGAGAGACUCCUGGCCACACAAGCAUUCUAAUGAUAGAGACUCCUGACCUACCUUAUUCAUUCUAAUGAUAGAGAAACCGUGUGACCUCAGGUAUUCUAAGGAUAGAUAGACCUGGCUGACCCCAGGCAUACUGACAAGAGAGUAUCCUGGCCAACACCAGGCAUUCUAAUGAUACAGACUUCUGGCUCAUCGUGGGCAAUCCAGUGAUACUGUUACCUGGGCAACCUCGCCAUUUUAAGAAUAGAGACACCUGGCCAACCCCAGGUAUUCUAAAGAAAGAGACUCCUGGCCAACCCAAGACAUUUGAAUGAUAGAGACUACUGGCCUAGCCCAGGCAUUUUAAUGAUAGAUACAUCUGUGCGACCUAUGGCAUUUUUAAAAGAAAGACAUCUGGCCAACCACAGGCAUUCUAACAGCAGAGAAUCCUGGCUGACCCCAGGCAUUCUAAUGACAAAGACUCCUGGUCAAACCCAGUUUUUCUAAUGAUACAGAUGCUUGAGCAACCUCGUCGUUCUAAGGAUAGAAACACCUGGCCAAGCCCAGGCAUUCUGAUGGGAGGAGACACAUUUGGCCAACCCCAGGCAUUCUCAUGAUAGAGACUCCUGUCUGACCCCAGAUGUUCUAAUUAUAGAAACACCUGAGCAAACUCAGGCAUUCUAAGGAUAGAGAUACUGGGCUGACCCCAGGCAUUCUACCAAUAGAGAUUCCUGGAUGACCCCAGGCAUUCUAAUGGGAGAGACUUCUGGCCAACUCUAGGCAUUCUAAUGAUAGAGACUCCUGGCUGACCCCAGGCCUUCUAAUGAUAGAGACACUUGGGCGACCUCGCCAUUCUAAGAAUAGAAGCACCUGGCCAACCUAGGGCAUUCUAAUGAGAGAGACUCCUGGCCUAACUCAGGCUUUCUAAUGAUAAGGACUCCUGGCCUAUCCAAGGCAUUCUAAUGAUAGACAGGUUGGCGAACUCAGGCAUUCUAAGAAUAAUAACACCUGCACGACCCCAGGCAUUUUAUUGGAAGAGACUCUUGGCUGAACCCAGGCAUUCGAAUGACACAGACUUCUGGCCUACCCCAGGCACUCUGGGCCUCUGGGCACUCAGGCACUCUGGCACUCAGGCACUCAGGCACUCUGGGCCAGAUAGACACAUCUGGGCAACCUCGGGCAUUUUAAUGAUAGAGACUUCUGGCCAACCCCAUGCAUUCCAAUGAUACAGACCCCUGGGCAACCUCACCACUUGGAUAAAAACACAUGGCUGACUUAAGGCAUUCUAACAAGAGAGACACCGUGCCAACCCCAGACAUUCUAACGAUAGAGAUUCCUGGGGGAACCCAGGCAUUCUAAUGAUAGAGACACCUGUGUGACAUCAGCCAUUUUAAAAAUAGAGGCACCUGGCCGACCCAAGGCAUUCUAAUGACAGAGACUCCUGGCCAACCCAGGCAUUCCAAUAAUAGAGACACCUAAGCAACCUCACUAUUCUAAGGACAGAGACACCUGGCUGACUCCAGGCUUUCUAAUGGGAGAAACUCCUGAUUGACCCAAGGCAUUCUAAAGGUAGAGACUCCUGGCUGACCCAAAGAAUUCUAAUGAUAGAGACACCUGGGGGACCUCACUAUUCUAAGGAUAGAGACACCUGGCCAACCCCAGGCAUUCUAAUGGGAGAGAUUCCCGGUCCACCCUAGGAUUCCAAACGAUAAAGGCUCCUUGCCUAUCCAAAUCAUUUUAGUGAUAGACCUGGGCGACCUCAGGGGUUAUAAAGUCACCUAGAAGACCCCAAGCAAUGCUACUGGAAAGACUCUAAGAGGACCCUAGGCAUUCUAAUAAGAGAAACACAUGCUGUCCCUUGGCAUUCUAAAGAUAAAGACACCCGUGCGUCCUCAGACAUUCUAAGGAUAAAGUCAUCUGGCUGGCCCAGUUAUUCAACAAGAAAGACUUUUGUUUGACUCUAGGCAUUCUAACUAUAGAGAUUAUUGUCCUUCCCCAGGCACUGAAAUAAUAGAGACAGUUGUUCACUCUCAGACAUUCUAUCAAAAGAGACAGCUGGCAGACCACAAGCAUUCUAACAGGAGAGAGUCCUGGCCGACCCCAGCCAUUCUAAUAGUAGAGACUCCUGGCCUACCACAAGCAUUCUACUGAUAGAGACACCUGGGGGACCUUAGGCAUUCUAAGGAUAGAGAAACCUGUCUGACCCCAGGCAUUCAAGCGGGAGAGACUUCUGACCAACCCCAGGCAG